rnacentral:rRNA from 1 species
UACGUAGGUGGCAAGCGUUGUCCGGAAUUAUUGGGCGUAAAGCGCGCGCAGGCGGUCCUUUAAGUCUGAUGUGAAAGCCCGCGGCUCAACCGUGGAGGGUCAUUGGAAACUGGGGGACUUGAGUACAGAAGAGAAGAGUGGAAUUCCACGUGUAGCGGUGAAAUGCGUAGAGAUGUGGAGGAACACCAGUGGCGAAGGCGACUCUUUGGUCUGUAACUGACGCUGAGGCGCGAAAGCGUGGGGAGCAAACAGG